rnacentral:rRNA from 1 species
UUCCUACGGGAGGCAGCAGUCGGGAAUUUUGGGCAAUGGGCGAAACCUGACCCACAACGCCGCGUGAAGGAUGAAAUCCCUCGGGAUGUAACUCGCAAGAACGGGAAGAAUAAGUAAGAGUUAACAUCUCUUACGAUGACGGUACUGUUUGUAAGCUCCGGCUAACUCCGUGCCAGCAGCCGCGGUAAUACGGGGGGAGCAAGCGUUGUUCGGAUUUACUGGGCGUAAAGGGCGCGUAGGCGGCCACCGCAAGUCGACUGUGAAAUCUCCGGGCUUAACCCGGAACGGUCAGCCGAUACUGCGGGGCUAGAGUGCAGAAGGGGCAACUGGAAUUCUCGGUGUAGCGGUGAAAUGCGUAGAUAUCGAGAGGAACACCUGCGGCGAAGGCGGGUUGCUGGGCUGACACUGACGCUGAUGCGCGAAAGCUAGGGGAGCGAACGGGAUUAGAUACCCCGGUAGUCCUAGCCUUAAACGAUGAAUGCUUGGUGUCUGGGGUUUUAUAGUCCCCGGGUGCCGUCGCUAACGCUUUAAGCAUUCCGCCUGGGGAGUACGGUCGCAAGACUGAAACUCAAAGGAAUUGACGGGCCCCACAGCGGUGGAGCAUGUGGUUUAAUUCGACGCAACGCGACCUUACCUGGGCUAGAAUGCCUCUGACCGCCAUAGAGAUAUGGCUUCCUGGUAAAACCAGGCAGAGUGCAAGGUGCUGCAUGGCUGUGUCAGCUCGUGUCGUGAGAUGUUGGGUUAAGUCCCGCAACGAGCGCAACCCUUACAUAGUUGCCAGCGGUUCGGCCGGGCACUCUAUUGAGACUGCCGUUGACAAAACGGAGGAAGGUGGGGAUGACGUCAAGUCCUCAUGGCCUUUAUGUCCAGGGCUACACACGUGCUACAAUGGCGAGUACAAAGCGCUGCAAACCUGCAAGGGGGAGCCAAUCGCAAAAAGCUCGUCUCAGUUCAUGG